GUGUCAGCAGCCGCGGUAAGACAGAGGUCCCGAGCGUUAGGCGGAAUCACUGGGCUUAAAGCGUGUGUAGGCGGAUGUCUAAGUACUUUGUGAAAUCCCACGGCUUAACCGUGGAAUUGCUUGGUAUACUGGAUAUCUUGAGCCAGCUAGGGGCAACCGGAACAAAUGGUGGAGCGGUGAAAUGCGUAGAUAUCAUUUGGAACGCCAAUGGUGAAAACAGGUUGCUGGGGCUGUGCUGACGCUGAGACACGAAAGCCAGGGGAGCGAACGGGAUUAGAUACCCCAGUAGUCC
rnacentral:rRNA from 1 species